AUGCUUCGGGGCUUUUGCUCUUCAACUGGAUGCCAGAUGUUUGAGAAGAUCAACGAUUACCCAGGUGUUUCCUGGGUUUUGUUCCUGUUGCCUGCAAAUGUUGUCUAGGCUCUGACUUUCCAGCAGCUGGGGUCUUCCAGCCUUGGGAGCAAACAGAGGACGCCCCAGUGUCUUGAGUGGAGUCACUUGCAUACUUGGCUCCUACUCUCAGCUGAGUCCUGUGGAGGCUUCACAGGCAGAGCAGUCAUGGAGAUGAGAAGCCUCGCCUUCCAGGCCCAAGACCAACAGCAAAGCCACAGCUGGCCGAGGUGUUUGGAAGUGACGUUUCCCCUCAACGGCACAGCCCGGAUUUAG
ensembl:lincRNA 1700036A12Rik RIKEN cDNA 1700036A12 gene